rnacentral:rRNA from 1 species
UACGGGGGGGGCAAGCGUUGUUCGGAAUUACUGGGCGUAAAGGGCUCGUAGGUGGCCAACUAAGUCAGACGUGAAAUUCCUGGGCUUAACCUGGGGGCUGCAUUUGAUACGUGUGGGCUUGAGUGGGGAAGAGGGUCGUGGAAUUCCCAGUGUAGAGGUGAAAUUCGUAGAUAUUGGGAAGAACACCGGUGGCGAAGGCGGCGACCUGGUCCUUGACUGACGCUGAGGCGCGAAAGCGUGGGGAGCAAACAGG